UACGAAGGGGGCUAGCGUUGCUCGGAAUUACUGGGCGUAAAGCGCACGUAGGCGGCUUUCUAAGUCGGGGGUGAAAUCCUGGAGCUCAACUCCAGAACUGCCUUCGAUACUGGAAAGCUCGAGUCCGGGAGAGGUGAGUGGAACUGCGAGUGUAGAGGUGAAAUUCGUAGAUAUUGGAUGGAACACCAGUGGCGAAAGCGGCUCUCUGGCCCGGAUCUGACGCUGAGGCGCGAAAGCGUGGGAGCAAACAGG
rnacentral:rRNA from 1 species